rnacentral:SRP_RNA from 1 species
GCCAGGCACAGUAGUGCAUGCCUGUAGUUCCAGCCACUCGGGAGGCUGAGGUUGAAGGAUUGCUUGAGCCCAGGAGUUCUGGGCUGUAGUGCACUAAGCCGAUCAGGUGUCCGCACUAAAUUCAGCAUCAAUGUGGUGACCUCCCAGGAGUGGGCGACCACCAGGUUGCCUAAGGAGAGGUUAACUGGCCCAGGUUGGAAAGGGAGCAGGUCAAAACUCCCAUGCUGAUCAGUAGUGGGAUUGUGCCUGUGAAUAGCCACUGUACUCCAGCCUGGACAACAGAGCGAGACCCUGUCUCUG